CAGAUGGAAAAUAGGCUCUGGACAGCUCCAAGCCCCUAGCCUGCCCACCCCUGCCAGGAGGCUCCAGUUGCUCUGGCGUUUCAGCGUCUUCUCCUGCAGCCUGGGCCAGUGCUUACGCCACACCUGGGAACAGCUGAGUGGUCAGCCUCACCGAGGGGCCACCCGCUGAGGACCCAGGCGCGAAGACUGCCACCUGCACUGACUACAGGCCUGUCGGCCGGGGCUGCGUCCAUAAUCCGGGUCAAUGGCGUUAUCAUCAUAACCUCCUCCUCGCACGAUUCUAAUAACUUCUUUUCCCACUUGUCCUUUGACCGGGCUGGGCUCCUCCCAGCGGAAAACAGCGGGUGUCCUGUUUGCAGGAGAAACGCACCCGGGAUCCCUCCUCGCAGCAGCGGGGCCGGGCCGGCUGGGUCUUUUCUCUUCUCUUCUUCACACAGGCCCCUCUCCGCUGUUUCUGCAGAGACCAAGAUGGGAGGGAGAAAGACCCUCCAGCCCCCUGCCCCCACCCUCCGCCGUCUCCCGGGCCCUGUGCUGCGGGCAAGAUAAUUUGGCUAAUGAACUCGUUAAAGGGCCCCUGGUGACCCGCCCCGGCGUCCCCUCGGCCCAUCUGGGAAAUUCCACUGAAAGGCUGGAGAGCGCUCCUCUGUCCCGCCGCCGUCUGUCGCUGCUGGAGGCGCGAACCCUGUGACUCUGGGCCCUUUACAUUAAAAUAAUUACCCGGCGGAACAGGUGGCUCAGUCCCGGAGCUUGGGAGCAUCUGGGCCCCAGAGUCGCAGCCGAGGAGGAGGGGAGCGGCAUGCCCCAGGUAGGCAAGGUCAGGCCCGCAGGCCAGGAGAACCCGGGGAGCCGGAGAGUAGAGAGGGGCUUUCCUAGGGAUGGACGGUCCCAGGACACACAGGCCUCUGCGGCCUAGUGGGCCGGGGCCUGAGUAGGGAGGCCGCCGCCCCUAGGCGCAGGUAAGCGCAGCGCGCGCACCAAUUGGGAUGCACCUGGCUACCUGCUCUGCCACCAAGCUUGGGGCAUGCGGGUGCCUGAGCAGAACCCCUAACUCGCCCGGGCUCCGAGGUUGAAGCAACUCCUAACAUUGGCCUCCGAGCCAAGAGCUUGCUGGAGGGGCGCCUGCCAUGCUGGUCCUCGGUGCUCACUGCCGGGCGCCACAGACUGCCGCGAGCGCGUGAGGAGUGUGCGCCCUGUGUGCGCGCGUGCCAGAACGCACGUGUAGGGCGGCUUCCUGUCCUCCUUUCCCGCCUGAGAAGCGUCCACGCGGAGUUCCAGGCCGGACGCUGGGGAAGGAGGUCCCCGGGAAGCUGCUAAAAAGAGAGCAGCCAGCCCAGGCGCGGGGCCAAGCCUAUUGCCAAAAACAUAUUACCCUGCGACAUUCUGUAAAUGAGAUAAUGAUCCAUAAACCCGGAUGAUAGAUGUGGCCUGCCUGCGAUGUCUUCUCUAAAUGAGCUGUUCGCAUCGACUGCUAAUAAUGGCCGGGCAGCGCCGGUGCGGCUCAGCGCUAUGGCUCCAAGGCUCAGGGCCCUGGCGUCUGGGCUCGGCCGGGGACAGUUUUCACGCGAGGCAGAGCCUAGCUGGAGGUCGCAGGGCGGUGGAGAGCGAGGACAUGAGGGAGGGUGCUGGGAAUGGUGCAGUGUCGGUGGCCACGCAUCCCUCCGACGCGACCCCAGGGGAAGAGUGCAGGACCCUGGGACCCCGCCGGGGCUGCGCGGGCCUGAGCUUGGGGGUCGUGCAGAAGGGCACCAAACCCGCCCCAGCGCAGACCCCUACUUUGCUCGGUGACUUCGCACGCUCGUUGGAGGGAGCUGAGGGCGCCCGAAUGCACCUGGGCUGAGGUUUUAGUAGCUGGCUCCACCUCCGUCUCAGGUGAGCCGCUGCAGGAAGGGCCCUCCCAGGCAUCCCUCGGCUCCCGCUAGCAGAAGUGAGGCCCUCCGGAGCCGGCGGAGGUGACCCCUACGCCCUGGCUCAUGGGCUGCAAAGGAAAAUGUGCGCUGUCCCUUUAAGCCCCCGGCCACCGCCACCUCCCUGCCCCAUCCCCCUUCAAUUUAAUUUCAUUAAAACAGAGCAUGAAUAUUUCUAUUAAACCUAAAAUGAAAUAUGAAGCCAUUUAGACUCUGCCUGCACCAAUCACCCAGAUUUAUGACUUUUAUUCAUCACAUCAAGAGCUUGGAAAAAUGAAUUUUCUUCACCCAGGAAGGAAAUAAAACCUCAGGCUUGGUCAUUUCCAGAAAGCUGUUAAUUUGACCAUGUGGUAAUUACUUUCACAAUUAACUAAAAUACAAAUCAACUUGACAAAUUGGGCUAGUUUAUAUAUUAAUUAGCCCCCUUAAAUUUAUUCAUUAUGAAAAGACAAUUUAAGGGGACCUGUGGUGUCUGUUUUAUUGCAAUAAAUUAUUGUUAGGAAAUGGGUCUAAUAAAAUAUCUUAAUAUUUAAGGAUAUUGUAUACGCGGGGGGUAUGCUUUAUUGACAAUUUCAUUUUCCAAUUAGUAAUUUUGUUGUAAUAUAUCUGCGAACCGGGGACUCCCGGGCGGGGAGGCAGGAUUCCCCGGCUGGGGCGGUCUGAGUAGCUGGGUCUGAGGCGCGGGCUAAGAAGAGUAAAUUCUGCGGAAAGGGCCGCGUCCGAUAGGAGCAAACGUUCGGUUCGUAUAAGGAGCCACUCCAGGCGGCCACCGAACCCCUGCCCAGGACUCGGCACUCCCGGAGCCCUCCUCCCCACGCAGGCCGCGGGGGCUGAUUUAAUAGAAUGUCGAUAGAAUCAUUCGAUGCCUUUUAGCUUGUGAUCUUUAUAAAUGUCCCUCUAUUAAAUUAGAAAAUGAU